rnacentral:lncRNA from 1 species
UACUUUACAGUUCGUGGUCCCUUAUUUCUUGAGUGCUUGUUCACGGAACUAAAGUUGGGGCUGCAUUCUAUAUCUGAAUCCCUAUUUUAUCUAAAGGGCAAUUGCUAAAACCACUUUCCAUAAUGAAAGGUCUCUUCUUCUAGAGCUUGAAGAUAUCUUUUUUAUAGUCAAAGGAUUUCACUUUCAACAAAAGAUGACACCGU